rnacentral:rRNA from 1 species
GAUGAACGCUGGCGGCGUGCCUAAUACAUGCAAGUCGAGCGAACAGAUGAGGAGCUUGCUCCUCGGACGUUAGCGGCGGACGGGUGAGUAACACGUGGAUAACCUACCUAUAAUACUGGGAUAUCUUCGGGAAACCGGAGCUAAUACCGGAUAAUAUAUUGAACCACAUUGUUCAUUAGUGAAAGACGGCUUUGCUGUCUCUUUUAGAUGGAUCCGCGCCGCAUUAGCUAGUUGGUCAGGUAACGGCUUACCAAGGCAACGAUGCGUGGCCGACCGGAGAGGGGGGUAGGCCACACGGGAACUGAGACACGGACCAGACGCCUACGAGAGGCAGCAGUCGGGAAUCUUACGCAAUGGGCGAAAGUCUGACGGAGCAACGCCGAGUGAGUGAUAAAGGUCUUCGGAUCGUAAAACUCUGUUAUUAGGGAAGAACAAAUGUGUAAGUAACUAUGCACGUAUUGACGGUACCUAAUAAGAAAGCCACGGCUAACUACGUG